CCUUCUCUUCCUUUCUUUCUUCUUCCCUUCCCGAGCUCCUCUUCCUCUUCUCCUCUUCUCCCAUGAAACCAGGAGGCGAGCUCGGGAGGCGCCCGGAAGGCACUCGGGAGGAGGCCGGCCCGAAGCCGGCGGUGCUGCGGCCAACCGGCGGCACCGGCGGCGGCCGUGGUUCCACCUGCAGCAGCCACGGCCCAACCGGGAGCUCUCCUCCUCCACCUCCGACGGAGGAGAUGGAGCACGGCCACCCGUCGUGGAGCGGCAGAACCGGCCGAAGCCGGUGGUGCACGACGACACCUGCGGUCGGCCCGACGGUGUCACGACGGCCACAACGGGAAGAUCCCCCUUCGACUCGUCUGCUCCGACCACCUCCGGUCUAGAUCAAGCCGGUUCCACCCAUGGGAACCUGACUUGCACGAGCCGAGAACCCUCCCCAUGAAUCGAGAGAAAACAAAGAAACAUAAAGAAUAUAUGCAAGUGGAUUACCAGACGUUAUUGGUUUCACAAGUGCAUGGUGCAAGUGGCAAAUCCAGCACCUACUCUCAACUACCAACACCAAUUACCAGAAAUUCAGCUUCCUCUUCUUUCGUCGAAACUUUUUCUUCUCUCUCAUGAUUCCUUUUUAACUCUCAUCCUGAGAGAAUUCGUGUCCCUGCUGUUAUGCCAAUAAAACAGUAAAGCAUGUCAAUGUAUUGAGUGAAUUAGUAGCACAAACUCUUGUUGGGAGCAAGUAUUAUGACCAAAAACAUGCUUAAGAUGAAAAGCACCUACUUGCUUAGGUCCACUAUAAAAGAUUUGGGAAGCUAAAAAGGAAAAGAAACAAGAAAGGUUUUAAUAAUUAUAACAAAAGGUAAACGGUGAAGCAGAAGAUAAAUAAUGGAUUUUUGUUUAUAAACUUCUGAGAUUGUUUCUGCUCUGAACAAACUUUUUUAAGAGAUUGUUUCUUAAAUUAGAUUGUCAUCUCCAGAGCGCAUGUACUGGCGAGAGAUGUGGGGUUUGAAUCUAAAAAUCUUUUUAUAUUUUUGUCU